UGGGGUGGGGGAGGGAUAUCAUAGGUGAGGAGAAGAAACCGGCAGGUCAGCGCGUCGUAGUCUGCAGGAUAGCAAGGAAGAUGUUGGAGGUGUUGUUCAUGCAGGCUGGCCGGAUGAACGACGGGACUGCUUGUUAUGGUGGGUAGCGCCGCGACUCGUCUGUCUCCGCCAGCGCCAAACAGCUGUACCAGAGGAGUCGGAUGAUGGACUGACCGGCUAACUGCUUGUUUGACGCGUGUGAGGCAGCGGUAACUACGUAGGUCAAGCAAGCACGCCUCCACUACCUAUGGUCUCCUCAAACCUGUCGUCACCAAGCAGGUGUGGUAGCUGUGUCAUUGCAUAAACACGGGUCAGAUGAAGUGAAUCUAUUUGCAAUAUUUAGCGGAGCUGUGACACGUGUCAGUGGUGAUGGAGUCUGCAUGCAAGGGCCCUUCAAGCACUGCGGCUGAUCGCCUCUAGUCUGCCGGCGCUGAGCAGACUGCUUGAAUGGUCGACUGUUGGGGACUGGUUUACUCAUGGUACAAUAACGAGUUAUUGUACCAUGGGUUUACUGGACUGGCGAGUGAGGCAGCGCGACGGUGAGCCAAGAGAUGUUUGCCGGAGACGAGUGACAGAUGGCGCUGAUGUGUCAAGCCUGACGCAACAGACCGUACUGGUGGCUGCCUUGUCUGGCAGCGCCACGCAGCGACGAGGAGGGUGAUGGAUGGGUGUUCGAAGUUGGUGGACUCCUGUAUUUGAUCGUUCGUUGGUUCCUGGUCCGCUGGCUUCUUACCUCACCUGCUGUUGCUGGCGCCGCCUGCUCAAAACUUCCCUUCGUCACCUGCGCCAGAGUAGCGGCCGAGGACGCUAUAACUUGUUAUACGUACUGUAUACGUACCCAGAGCGGCGCCUCCCCAUUCCUUGGCGUGGGUGAGGCGCCUUCCGACCCUCCACUCAGGGAUCAGUAGUGUUGCUGGUUAAUGAAUAACAUCAUGGUUUUAGGAGUUCGGGAGAUAUUUCACUUUUUUUUUUUUUUUUUCGCUGGGAAUUCGAAAUAUCGGAAUUCGAAAUACCGUUUCUCCGAACGCUCUUCGUUAUUAUUGUAAACCGUGUAAAUAAUAAUAAAUAAACCAUCAAAUUUGAAAGCAAAGGGGUUUU